rnacentral:rRNA from 1 species
GAUGAACGCUGGCGGCGUGCCUAAUACAUGCAAGUCGAGCGAACAGACGAGGAGCUUGCUCCUCUGACGUUAGCGGCGGACGGGUGAGUAACACGUGGAUAACCUACCUAUAAGACUGGGAUAACUUCGGGAAACCGGAGCUAAUACCGGAUAAUAUAUUGAACCGCAUGGUUCAAUAGUGAAAGACGGCUUUGCUGUCACUUAUAGAUGGAUCCGCGUCGGAUUAGCUAGUUGGUAAGGUAACGGCUUACCAAGGCAACGAUGCGUAGCCGACCUGAGAGGGUGAUCGGCCACACUGGAACUGAGACACGGUCCAGACUCCUACGGGAGGCAGCAGUAGGGAAUCUUCCGCAAUGGGCGAAAGCCUGACGGAGCAACGCCGCGUGAGUGAUGAAGGUCUUCGGAUCGUAAAACUCUGUUAUUAGGGAAGAACAAAUGUGUAAGUAACUAUGCACGUCUUGACGGUACCUAAUCAGAAAGCCACGGCUAACUACGUG